rnacentral:rRNA from 1 species
UCGGGAACCGUGAGACAGUUGCUGCAUGGCUGUCGUCAGCUCGUGUUCUGAAAUGUUGGGUUAAGUCCCGCAACGAGCGCAACCCUUAUCCUUUGUUGCCAGCGAUACGGUCGGGAACUCAAAGGAGACUGCCGGUGAUAAACCGGAGGAAGGUGGGGAUGACGUCAAGUCAUCAUGGCCCUUACGGCCAGGGCUACACACUGCUACAAUGGCGCAUACAAAGAGAAGCGACCUCGCGAGAGCAAGCGGACCUCAUAAAUGCGUUGUAGCCCGGAUUGGAGUCUGCAACUCGACUCCAUGAAGUCGGAAUCGCUAGUAAUCGUAGAUCAGAAUGCUACGGUGAAUACGUUCCCGGGCCUUGUACACACCGCCCGUCACACCAUGGGAGUGGGUUGCAAAAGAAGUAGGUAGCUUAACCUUCGGGAGGGCGCUUACCACUUUGUGAUUCAUGACUGGGGUGAAGUCGUAACAAGGUAACCAAGGGCGAAUUCUG